CACAGCCGAAGCCCUAAUUUUUAUGGAGGAUUCUCUCGAUUUAUUCGAUGUCCGAGUCCUGAUUUCCAACUGUUGAAGUUUUUGUACUGAGUGUUCGGAAGAGGUUUUCUCUUCAGUGGAAAUGAACGAGUUUUGCUCCAAAUCCCUAAUGUCAAUCAUGAUGCAGGAAAUUCAAA